rnacentral:rRNA from 1 species
CAGCACCACGGCUACGAGUGGAAGCUGCCGGCGGCGCUGUCGGCGAACACGACGAGCGUGCACGUGACGGCGCUGGACGGGGUGGUCAACGUGAACUCGCUCUUCACGGUGGCCGUCUUCGUGGGCCUCUCCCUCGCGACCCCCGGCGAGCUGCGCAGCCUCGCCGGCGACCCGUCCUGCGACGCCGGGCCCGACGUGGCGCGGUCCCUGCUGGUCCUCGAGGUGGUCGCCUUCUCCUCCUUCCUCUUCUCCAGCCUCGUCGCGCAGGGCCUCAAGCUCGCGAUCAACCUCAUCAACUCCAAGGACCCCGACGACACGCACGCCCACAUCGACGCCCGCCUGCUCCGGCUCGGGAUGCUGGCCUCCGCCGUGGGCUCCGUCGUCGGCUGCGUCUUCUUGAUGGCGUCCAUGGUGAUGGUCGUGCAGAUCCGGCUGGGCACCCUGGGAUGCGCCAGCAACCGGGCGGCUGCCAAGGCCGCCGCGGGGCUCGUCGGGCUCGUCUCCACCGCCCUCGUCGUGUACAUCAGCACCGUCUUCUACACUUUCACUCACUGA